ensembl:antisense Gm14703 predicted gene 14703
AUUAUUGGCGUUCAUCCCAGGGCUAGAGCCGGAGCAGACUGUCAGAAGGCUGAGCCUUCAGUAUCCCUCGGUGCCGCAUGGCCUUUAGUGUUGGAAAGCCGGAAGCAAACGGGUUUGGAUGUGGAGACAUGGCCUCUGGUUUUCCUGCUGAGGCUGAGGCAAGAGAAAGGAGGGAAGAUACCACAGAAGGGUUCAGAAACAAAGGCUUGCGUAAGAAUGGGCUUCCUCUUCUGAGAGCACCACACAUCCCUCGUCCUCUUCACCUGCCUGUCUGCAAUCCUGACCAGAACCUUCUCUCAAGCUUAGAUCAUUCCCGAAUCCCACUUCUAGCCUUGCUCAAGCUCUUUGGAAUCAAGCUCAAACUCCUGAAUGUUCCAAGACACACCCCUUCUAGAGAUGCUGGAUCCAACCCAAACCUGCCCACUCCGGAACCCACCAUGUGUUUAAGCCACACCCCUCCUAGUACCCCUCUCCCCAGUCCCUUUUAGCCCCAUUCCAGAAUGGUGUAGGACACCACUUCCCUUUUAGGCUCCACAUCCAGUAUGUGUGGAAUUCAACUUUUGGCUGACUGGUCCUCUCUCUACAGAGGCCAUCUCCUCUCCACCCAUUUCAUCCAAGCCACCUCCACCCCUCUACUCUUCGGGUUGAAUUUCCAUUUGAGAGCUUCUUAAGUUCAGGCGAUGCUGGAGGAACCAAGGCUAGAGUUAGGAGGGGCAGAGGGAGAGAAGGAAGGGGGAAAAAGUCACAUCGACCCACUCCAUGCAGCCAAGGUCUGGCCCCCUUCCUGUCCCCUUUCUAGAGCCCCCUUACAUCACGGGACAGGGCUGGGGAACCGAUAGGGGCUGAGGAGUGCAAGGUCAGGGGUAGGGAGGAGCCCAUUCAGGACUGGGCCCCUAGUGCAUGGAGGAGUGGGUGAAGGUAGGGCUCAGACAGAUAAAUAGAUAUUUAUAUAUAAUAUAUAUAUAUAUAAACAGCAAAGACAGGGUCUCCUGGGUUGAGGGGUGGAGACCUAGGAUAUGGGGAUGGGAAGGGGGGCAGGCCUUCUCUUGAGCUCUUGCCCACCCGUGGGGUCUUCGUGGGCUUCACUGACCUGUAGAGAGAAAAGAGAAGGGGUCCAGGUGAGGGCAGAGUCUGAGCUCCCAGAGGAGGGCAGUACCCUCAGGAAGGGAUUGGGCCGCUAGGCUUUUUCUUCUCCUGACUCCAGUUGGUCUGGAGUCAGCGCCAUCCUAGCUGCUCUCACUAGGAAGAUAUUACCAACCCUGCUCAAACAGGGUACCAAAGGAACGGUUAAGGUCCCCUCUCUUAACCAAAAAAGCCCAUUAACCAGUACCGUUCUAGUCACUGUUGAAAAUCCACAUUGAGAAAAAAAAAUCCCUAUCUCUGUGAGGUUUACAUCAUAUCAGGAAAGGAGACAGGUUUCACAAUGAACAUGACAUAUUAGUAGAUUAUCAAAUACAAGACGAUAAUAGGCCAUGCAUGAUGGUGCACACCUUUGAUACCAGCACUCAGGAGGCAGAGGGAGUUGGAUCUCUGUGAGUUUGAUGCCGGCCUGAUCUACACAGUGAGUUCCCAAACAGCCAGGGCUAUGUAGAGAGACCGUGUCACCAAAAAAUCAAAAAAAAAANNNNNNNNNNNNNNNNNNNNNNNNNAAAAAAAAAGAAAAAGAAAAAAAAGUCCCUAAGUGAGCCUGUAGAGAUGACUCAGGAGUUAAGAAUGUGUGCUGCUCUUCUGGAGGACCCACAUUUCACUCACAGAACCCACACUGGGUGGGUUACAACAAUCUGUACAUUUAUCACCAAGGAAGCUGACCUUUCUUCCGGACUCCAUGGACACUUGAACUUACGAUUAAAUAAAAGA